GCAGUCGUGGCCGAGUGGUUAAGGCAAUGGACUAGAAAUCCAUUGGGGUCUCCCCGCACAGGUUCGAUCUCUGUUGACUACG
rnacentral:tRNA from 1 species